GUGCGAAAUAUUACUGUAAACGGCCGCCCUAGCGUGAGGGUGCUAAGGUAGCGAAAUUCCUUGCCUUUUGAUUGUAGGCCUGCAUGAAUGGUUUAACGAGGGUUUAACUGUCUCUUGAUUUAAAAUUGAAAUUGUACUGAAGGUGAAGAUACCUUCAUUAAAAAGUCAGACAAAAAGACCCCGUGCAACUUUGAAAAUUAACUUUAUUCAGAAGUGAGAGAUUUUUAGGUGGGGCGCCUAGAAAGUAAAUCUAACCUUUCUGAACAUUUAGUUCUUUCCGGACUUGACCCGAUUAUAUUCGAUCAUAGGAGAAGUUACGCCGGGGAUAACAGGCUAAUCCUUUAGUAGAGCUCGUAUUGGCUAAAGGGAUUGGCACCUCGAUGUUGAAUCAGGGAUGAUAGCUUCAAGGCGUAGAGGCUUUGAGAGUAGGUCUGUUCGACCUUUAAUACCCU
rnacentral:rRNA from 1 species